AUGCGCCGUCACCCACCCAGCAUGGCGGCCGGACCGCAAGGGUAUGUUGGACACGAGGGUGCAGCCGUCGUAGAUGGACCGGGCGUAGCCGAAGAUGAAGUCGACGCCGCCCUUGAUGAAGCAUUCAUGGAAGUAGUGCCGGCCAGUGUUGUCGCACAGCGUGUCUUGAAAGCCGUUGAAGGCGCAGCGGUGGAAGGCGAUCCGGUCACCGUCGACCAGCGCCGCCAGCGCCUGGGUGGCGUUGCUCUUGUUGACGCCGUUGUGCGUGUUGGUGAAGGCGAUGUCCCGGGCAACGAAGUCGUUGGCGUAGACUCUGAAGGUGGCGGUCUCGAGCGUCCCCAUCGCAUUGGCGCCGCGGCGCAUCAGGUCGUCGGUGCUGCCGUGGACGUAGUCGUCGAAGUAGAUGACCGUGCUCGAGUGGCCCUCCCCUUCCAGCAAGAUGUAGCCUUUCUCCCUUGGGAUGGUCACCUUCUCCCUGCAUGCACCACGUAUACCAUCAUAACCAUACUUGCUUACCACAUCUUGAAGCAAUACCUAACUGUGUAG
rnacentral:rRNA from 1 species